CCCUACGGGGUGCAGCAGGCACCAGUCCGGCCAAUCCGGCAGAUCGCGCCCUUUCCCUGCACGGACAUCAUUAACCAUUUCGACCAUAUGCGGAAACAAGAGCUGGAUGUUAUGCAGCUCCUGAUCCUGGGGGCUCAAUCGAGAGGGGUGGCGAUCAGCACGAGGCAUCAACUGGCCCGCAUUUCCCGGUCAAUCAGCCCACGAACGUACUCGGACUGGUUUGGCUUGCUCCGCAACCAUUCGAUCAUCUCAAGCGGUAACAAUAGGGAUAUCUGCUUCAUGGAUUCGCUAUAUAU
rnacentral:rRNA from 1 species